GAUGAAGAACGCAGCAAAAUGCGAUAAGUAAUGUGAAUUGCAGAAUUCAGUGAAUCAUCGAAUCUUUGAACGCACAUUGCGCCCGCCAGUAUUCUGGCGGGCAUGUCUGUUCGAGCGUCAUUUCAACCCUCAAGCACAGCUUGGUGUUGGGACUCGCGUUAAUUCGCGUUCCUCAAAUUGAUUGGCGGUCACGUCGAGCUUCCAUAGCGUAGUAGUAAAACCCUCGUUACUGGUAAUCGUCGCGGCCACGCCGUUAAACCCCAACUUCUGAAUGUUGACCUCGGAUCAGGUAGGAAUACCCGCUGAACUUAAGCAUAUCAAUAAGCGGAGGA
rnacentral:misc_RNA from 1 species